UAAAAGACGAUCUCAGUUCGGACNGCAGGCUGCAACUCGCCUGCACGAAGUUGGAAUUGCUAGUAAUCGUGGAUCAGCAUGCCACGGUGAAUACGUUCCCGGGUCUUGUACACACCGCCCGUCACACCAUGGGAGCCGGUAAUACCCGAAGUCAGUAGUCUACCCGCAAGGAGGACGCUGCCGAAGGUAGGAUUGGCGACUGGGGUGAAGUCGUAACAAGGUAUC
rnacentral:rRNA from 1 species